rnacentral:lncRNA from 1 species
CGAUUUGGGAGAUCCCUCUGGGGCAGACCUGUGAGGUCGACAUCAACGAGUGCGUUCUGAGCCCGUGCCGGCACGGCGCAUCCUGCCAGAACACCCACGGCGGCUACCGCUGCCACUGCCAGGCCGGCUACAGUGGGCGCAACUGCGAGACCGACAUCGACGACUGCCGGCCCAACCCGUGUCACAACGGGGGCUCCUGCACAGACGGCAUCAACACGGCCUUCUGCGACUGCCUGCCCGGCUUCCGGGGCACUUUCUGUGAGGAGGACAUCAACGAGUGUGCCAGUGACCCCUGCCGCAACGGGGCCAACUGCACGGACUGCGUGGACAGCUACACGUGCACCUGCCCCGCAGGCUUCAGCGGGAUCCACUGUGAGAACAACACGCCUGACUGCACAGAGAGCUCCUGCUUCAACGGUGGCACCUGCGUGGACGGCAUCAACUCGUUCACCUGCCUGUGUCCACCCGGCUUCACGGGCAGCUACUGCCAGCACGAUGUCAAUGAGUGCGACUCACAGCCCUGCCUGCAUGGCGGCACCUGUCAGGACGGCUGCGGCUCCUACAGGUGCACCUGCCCCCAGGGCUACACUGGCC